AUUGACCGCUGGCGGCAGGCCUAACACAUGCAAGUCGCGCGAGCGGCUGAAGGGUGAGUACUGUCUGGGCAACUGCCUGAUGUAGGGGGAUAACUACUGGAAACGGUAGCUAAUACCGCAUACCAUCAGAUGUGCCCAGAUGGUAUUAGCUAGUAGGGGGGGUAACGGCUAACCUAGGCGACGAUCCCUAGCUGGUCUGAGAGGAUGACCAGCCACACUGGAACUGAGAAACGGUCCAGACUCCUACGGGAGGCAGCAGUGGGGAAUAUUGCACAAUGGGCGCAAGCCUGAUGCAGCCAUGCCGCGUGUGUGAAGAAGGCCUUCGGGUUGUAAAGCACUUUCAGCGGGGAGGCGUUACCCGCAGAAGAAGCACCGGCUAACUCCGUGCCAGCAGCCGCGGUAAUUC
rnacentral:rRNA from 1 species